UACGUAGGGUGCAAGCGUUGUCCGGAAUUAUUGGGCGUAAAGAGCUCGUAGGCGGUUUGUCGCGUCUGCUGUGAAAACCCGAGGCUCAACCUCGGGCCUGCAGUGGGUACGGGCAGACUAGAGUGCGGUAGGGGAGAUUGGAAUUCCUGGUGUAGCGGUGGAAUGCGCAGAUAUCAGGAGGAACACCAAUGGCGAAGGCAGAUCUCUGGGCUGUAACUGACGCUGAGGAGCGAAAGCAUGGGGGCGAACAGG
rnacentral:rRNA from 1 species